UGUGGGAGCCAGCCUGCUGGCGAUAGCGGUAUGUCAGGCAACACUGAAGUCGACUGAUAGUUUGCUAUCGCCAGCGGGCUGGCUCCCACA
rnacentral:misc_RNA from 1 species